UUAUGUGGCUAUGAUGAUAAAUACUAUCCCAGCUCUAUGAGACUGUAAGGUCCGGGAAUAAAAUUAGUUCCAACACAAAUUUGUCUGAGCCUUUAA